UACGUAGGGAGCAAGCGUUGUCCGGAAUCAUUGGGCGUAAAGCGCGCGUAGGCGGCCUCGUAAGUCCGUUGUGAAAGUCAAAGGCUCAACCUUUGAAAGCCGAUGGAUACUGUGAGGCUAGAGUCCGGAAGAGGCGAGUGGAAUUCCUGGUGUAGCGGUGGAAUGCGCAGAUAUCAGGAGGAACACCGGUGGCGAAGGCGGUUCUCUGGGCCUGUACUGACGCUGAGGAACGAAAGCGUGGGGAGCGAACAGG
rnacentral:rRNA from 1 species